rnacentral:rRNA from 1 species
UACGUAGGGUCCAAGCGUUAAUCGGAAUUACUGGGCGUAAAGCGUGCGCAGGCGGUUGUGCAAGACCGAUGUGAAAUCCCCGGGCUUAACCUGGGAACUGCGCUUGUGACUGGCAGGCUAGAGUACGGUAGAGGGGGGUGGAAUUCCUGGUGUAGCAGUGAAAUGCGUAGAUAUCAGGAGGAACACCGAUGGCGAAGGCAGCCCCCUGGGCCUGUACUGACGCUCAUGCACGAAAGCGUGGGGAGCAAACAGGAUUAGAUACCCCGGUAGU